GUCUUUCUUUGGUCGGCCACGCCCCAGCCGUAGCUACCCAAGCUUCGCCGCAGGCGCCUAGGGUGGCUCAGGUGUCGGCGCGGCUGCUGGUCUGGCAGCUGGAGGAUCGGGGGCCCCGCCCCCCCAGGCUCCAGUCCCAGCGGCCCCCUUCAGGACAGAGUGGGCGUCUCUCCACGGCAGCCUCUGUAGGGACCCCGAGGUCGCAAUCGUGGAAGUAGGUGACUGUGGAGUCCCCUGCCUGGCAGGGAUUGGCCGGCCCUGGAAGGCCAGGAGCCUGGACUCGGGGGUCCCUCCCCCUGGGGGGGGGGGUCCAGCAUCUGUUCCCAGCGAUGAAAAUAAAUCGGAUAAAUUAGGA